AUCGUUUACAGCAGAUGCAGCCGAUUUAUUAAAAAUACAUUCAAAAAAGGGAGUUUUGUCAAUACAAGAGGAUUACAUAAAGUACAAAAAUGCAUUAAAAGAAUACCCCAAAAAGGAUGUUCCAAAAAUGUGGCCAUUUAAUGAACAAGAGCUUGAUAGUAUACAAAAACAACUCUGUAGAGGAGUAAUCAGAAAGUCAAGCAAAGAAUUAUCAAGUUUAAGUUGUUAUAUGGUUGAGACUAAUAUACCAUACUUCAAAUCAAAGGCAGAGGAGGUGAAUAAGGAUCCAAAAAUUUUGAUAUUUCAUGAAGUUAUUUCUGAAAAUGAAAUAGCGUAUUUUAAAGAAGAAAGUUAU